GCUUCAGGGGCUAUGGGUUUCUAAGGUCCAGCUGCCUGCAUCGUUCCUAACUUCGGACUUCAAGUCCCACAAGGCAGGAAAGCUGACAUGCUGGGACGCAGUUUAUAAACUAAACAGAAACAGAUUGUGCUGAUUUGGAUACACAGACUAAUGGGACGCAAGUCUACAAUUCUUGCCGUAGUCUGGGAAGACUGAUCAGCAGGGAAGGCACUUGCUGUGAAAUCAUGAGGACUCAGAUGCCCAUAAUCCAUGGAAAAGCCAGGCAGGCACAGCCGCCUACCUGUAAUCCCAAUGCUAAAGAAGCAGAAACAGAAUCCUGGGCUAUCUAGACCAGCUGAAUCCAGUGAGCUCUGGGUUCAAGAGAGAGAGACCCUGCCUCAAUGUCUACAGAGGAGCACAAUUGAGGAGGGCGCUCAACAUCAGCCUCUGGUCUCCAUAUGUACCUGCCGACACAUGUGAACAUACAUACCUGCCCUGGCUGGUCUUAUGUCAACCUGACACACAAACUAGAGUGAUCUGAAAGGAAGGAGUCUCAAUAGAA